rnacentral:rRNA from 1 species
GGGCCCGCACAAGCGGUGGAGCAUGUGGCUUAAUUCGAGGCAACGCGAAGAACCUUACCUGGUCUUGACAUGCCCGUCAUAGUUUUCCGAAAGGAAUUCGUCAGUUCGGCUGGACGGUGCACAGGUGCUGCAUGGCUGUCGUCAGCUCGUGUCGUGAGAUGUUCGGUUAAGUCCGGCAACGAGCGCAACCCUCGUUCCUAGUUGCCAGCGGGUAAUGCCGGGGACUCUAGGAAGACAAACCUCGUGUAGAGGUGGGAAGGUGGGGACGACGUCAAGUCAGUAUGGCCCUUACGACCAGGGCUGCACACGUGCUACAAUGCCCAGCACAAUGGGAUGCAACACCGCGAGGUUGAGCAAAUCCACAAAACUGGGCCCAGUUCGGAUUGGAGUCUGCAACUCGACUCCAUG